ACGGAGCGAAAAGCGAAAAAGAAAGUGGAGUGCAGAAUUCAGUGAAUCAUGCGAUCUUUGAACGCGACUUUGCCCCCGGCAGAAUCUGCCGGGCAUGCCUGUCGGGGCGUCAUUUAACCCCUCGAGCCUGGGUUUUUACAACCCAAAGGAUCGGUUUGGGGGCGCUACGGUUGUCAUCUGACCGCCGUAGGCUCUGAAAUACAGUGGCGGUCCCGCCGCGGCGCCUUCUGCGUAGUAGAUUUACAACUCGCAUUGGGUCCCGGCGAAGGCCAGCCGUCAAACCCUCUAUUCUUAUGGUUUGACCUCGGAUCAGGUAGGGUUACCCGCUGAACUUAAGCAUAUCAAUAAGCGGAGGAAAAGAAACCAACAGGGAUUGCCUCAGUAACGGCGAGUGAAGCGGCAACAGCUCAAAUUUGAAAUCUGGCCGCCUGUGCGGUCCGAGUUGUAAUUUGAAGAGGAUGCUUUUGGCAAGGUGCCUUCCGAGUGCCCUGGAAUGGGACGCCAUAGAGGGUGAGAGCCCCGUAUGGUCGGUCGCCGAGCCUCUGUAAAGCUCCUUCGACGAGUCGAGUAGUUUGGGAAUG
rnacentral:rRNA from 1 species